GGAGGAAAGCAGGUGGCUCAGACGGUGCAGAUGUUGGUAAACCAUCAGUGCGGUGCUUCUGCAGCCUCUGAGUUGCAGGAUGUCUCAUCAAGUGUCCGUCUUCCUGACUGCCACUCGGUGUUUGACCUUCAGGAUGUCCAGAGACCUUCACCUUUCUGGAGCUGGGAUCACAUGAGCCCGAUGUGCUGAUGAAACAUUUCUAAUU